UAAAGCAGAACGUGCUCCACUUUCAGGUUAUUGUAGAAUAUAUAAGCACACUGCCAUAUGCAUAAUUUAUUUUUGCACUGUUAAUCAAUUUUACAUUUUCACUUAGUGCAGGUUAAUGUAAGGAAGAUACUGUACUACAGAUAUUUAAAUCCUUUUUGUAUGUACUCCACUUCUUCACUGCCUGACCAUCAUCUUAAUGUUUAUGCAGUUCAAUGUUUUUAUUAUUUUUUAUAUCUAAAGCACCUUGUUCAGUAAGUAUUUAGAUGUUUUUCAUAUCUGUCAUGGUCUAAGCAUGAUCUGUUUCUGUUGUUCUGAUGAAGGAAGCUUGUGUUGGGAAGGAUUCGAUGUCUGUUGAGGCACAUGUGAAUGUGCAACAAACUGAGUAUCAGAAAACACAUCCAGACACAUGGACUGUCAAAGACCACACGACAGGAACAUUCUCCUGGAGACGCUGAGAAAGCACGGAAGGAAUUUCUGUGGAGGAUGUACUCAAAAAAUACACCUACUUAAGGACACCUGCUGGAGGGGACCCGGCUACACCUUUCCUACCAUACACCUGAUGGAUACUGACUGUAAAAUGGCAAUCAUAGGAGGAGGGCUCAGUGUGGUAUGGUUGACUGGAAGUCUGUCAGUCCAGAUGUGAGGAGGACACACAGAGUGGAGCUGGAGCUCAGCAGAUGUGUGAUGGCUGUAGAUACUGUGGUCUUGGAAAGAAGGGAUCUUCACAGCUUUCUAUUGAGACAAAGAGUUUGCUGGAUUCUGUUCUAUGGACUGAUACUACAGAAUUAAUUAAUGAAUGAGUGGUUUAUCUAUCUAUCUAUCUAUCUAUCUAUCUAUCUAUCUAUCUAUCUAUCUAUCUAUCUAUCUA